GACAGAGGUGCCGAGCGUUAGGCGGAAUCACUGGGCUUAAAGCGUGUGUAGGCGGGUCGUUAAGUACCUUGUGAAAUCCCCCGGCUCAACCGGGGAACUGCUGGGUAUACUGGCGAUCUUGAGCCACCUAGGGGCAGUCGGAACAAGUGGUGGAGCGGUGAAAUGCGUAGAUAUCACUUGGAACGCCAAUGGUGAAAACAGACUGCUGGGGGUGUGCUGACGCUGAGACACGAAAGCCAGGGAGCGAACGGG
rnacentral:rRNA from 1 species